CUUUGCUUUUUUAAUUUUUUGUUUUUGUUUAUUCUAUUUCAUUUAGAUUAUUAUUACCCACUUUCCCCUUCUUUAAAGUUUUAGACAUUUCGGGUAUUUAGUGUAUUCAUUAAAAUGGCAGAUCUUGUCAACAGUUGAUGCCGCUGAGGAAAAAUAAGUCGUGUAACGUCUACAUGAAGAACAUUAUUAAAAUAUGAGGAAGUAAGUAGCGUAUAAUUGAUGUGAAAUUUUAAUUGACAGGUCCGAAAUCUUCCAUAUUAGUCUGAAUUUCGCUGCUGUCAUAGGCGAGAAACGACUCGUGACCUGGACCGGUAAAUGUCCUAGUAAAAAUAAACAAGUGAAAUCGAGAGAAUGAUGACGUAUAUCUUUGUUAUUUUAAGAACCAGUGACUUGAAAUUUGGCAUGCAAGUAGUUAAAACAUUAAUCUAUGCAAGGAAAACAACAAAUUACGCAUAGCUUACCUAGUUUAAGAUUUUUUAGACAUUUGAAGCGAGUGGUUAGUUUUUUAUCUGUGUCAGAGUUAGACCCCUUUCUAUAUUUAUGGUAUCACAGAGUUCGGGCCCAAAACGGGCUUAGCCCCUGUGAGUUGAACUGGACAUAAUAAUAUAUUGUCUCCUAUAUUUUAAGAAUUAUUUGCUUGAUUGACACAUACCAAACUUGGUACACUGGUACAGCAUAAGGAGUAGAUGACCCCUAUUGAAUUUUAGGUCACAUGGUCAAUUCACUCUUGAUAUAGGAAGAUAUUGUCUGCUCAAUAUUUUGAAUUGAUGAUAAUACUAUCAAUUAAAUGAGGUGUGUGUAUAACCCUUUUCAAUUUUGCACCAUGGGGGGCAUAUGUGUUUUACAAACAUCUCUUGUUAUAUCAAAUAUUGAAAGGAAAAGAUUUCAUAGCCCCGGCCAAUCUCUAAACAGGAUAAGUGGGAAACUUUACUAGAUGAACCCAUUUCAAGAAAAGGCUGGAAAUUUUAUUUUGUAAAUGCAUACCUGUGACAGAACUGUCAUGCCACAACUGGAGAUUUGAAAAUUUUCAGCUGGAGUUUUGGUCUGAUAACUGGAGAUUUUUUAUCGACAUUUUUUUACCGUUUUUGUGUGUUCAUUGGCUAAUGAAAUCAUGCUACUAGUAGUUUUUUUUUUUGUGUUACAAGUGUCUGAGUUCAUAAUCAUCAGAUCCUUUUUGUGUUGAGAACAUUGAUAAAUCCUUUUUUGUGUUAAGAACAUUGAUAAUUCUUAAGUCAAUACCUUAAAAACCACAAUUAAAUGAAAAAACUUGUUAUAUUUAUAUAUUUAUUACAGAGAUAACAAGUUAUAACAAUUAUCACACUAAAAUAUUUGUAUAAUCAAUACAUUACCAAUGGCUACGAAGUCUUCCAGAAUGCUUAAUUCAGAAUUACAAGCAAAGUAGCCCGUACCAAACAUCCUAACAAAUGCUCAUGAGCAGCUCAUGAGAAGCACAUAAAAAUCUGGUAAGAAUCGUAUGCAAAUUAGUUAGCAUUUAAUUUUGCUCAUGUGCAGAUUGUUAGUCUCUGUUAGGGAGGAAAAUACUAACCAAAAUGCACAUGUGCAAAAUUUUGCUCACCUGAAUGCUCAUGAGCAAAAGUCGAUUCAAAUUGCUCACAUAAGCAACUGGCUACAUCGAUGUUGGAUUAAUUUUUCUAAGUUUAACUUUCUCACGUGAGCAAGAGGUUAGGAAAUUGGACUUAGUCAAAAAAUGAGAGUGGUAAAAAUUCACCUUUAUAUCGUAUAAUUUACAUAUCAGGAUUUUAUCCAGGUACGUUAUUCUGGUUUGUGGAAUGCUAAUUUAUACUAAGUUAGAAUAAUCUAAGCUGUAUACCAAAGUAGGUCUUCAUGGGGCUUUACGGCUCUAUGCAUGAUGUAAAUAGAGAUCGGGUUCAAUGCGUCGGGUGUGGGAUUCACACAAUAUAUGCUGAGCGCGAAAGUUGAUUGACAGGCGCCAUGAUGUUAUACCGGUAAACAACAUUUUGAACAUGAAUCGAGAACAGGAGUUGAAUCAGUUGAUGCAGAUAUUCUGAGGAGAAUCUUCCAGUCAUUGAAAUAUAUUUCAUGAUAGUCGUGCAGAUUCAGAAGUUGUGAUGGUGUGUUGAUAGGCUGUCUUCAACUUGCCAUAUCUGAGAGUUCCAACAUGCAGGCCUGGAUUAUUGUGUAUAAAUCACUAAUGAAGUUACUUAGUGUUAUUUAGUUUUUUAAAAAAAGAAUGACAUUUCAAUUUAUACACACUUGCCAAGUGAAUCUGAUGAGACUGCUACAUGUAUUUGGAAGAAUCAAUAAAAGAAAGUGUCAAUCUUGACCAGUUUUUCCAGCCUGGAGAUGGGAAGAUAAAACUUGUGGAGGGACAGUCGCUAUACAUUGAUUCAGCGAAGCUGGCAAUCCUGAAGAGGAAAUGCAAGAAAAAUGAAAGUAAAACUUUAAAAGCUUUGUUGGACUUUUACUUUACACCAAAGUACCUCGCAAUGCACUCUGCAACAGGAGAGAAAUCAGCAAAACCAGGCUUACCAGUGAAAGUUGUAAAUCCAAUUAGAGAUUACAUGCAACAAAGUUUCAAAGUGGAUGCCUCUACCUUAAAUGCAAUUAUCAACCGGAAGUGCUUGGAUGCAAAGAGAUCCAAAAAAUGUUGACGAUCAAUGUCUAUAUUGACUGUAAAAUCUCUUCAUAAAUACAGUAAAAAAUGUAGAGCUAAUGAAUAUGAUGUGUGUACAAAGAUAAGUAGGGAGUUAUUUUGUUGCACAUAAUAUAAUAUACUAGGUGUUAAAUGAUUGAUUUUAAGUAAAAAAGUGAAUAUCACUGUACAUUUAUGCAAAUAUUUACAUGCUGCUUAAGAUUAAUGGCAUUUAUUGUUUUAAAUUUAUAUUAUGCAACUACUUCUUUAUAUAGUGAUUCAUGUCAGUUUAUCAAUACUACGAGUAAAAUUUUGUGUAACUUUUCAUUUGAAUUAAUUGUGGUGUUUUCUUAACUUUAAACAAUAUGUACAGGAUAAUUAUGAAAGUUUGCAAUAAUGUCUAUAGUUUUUCCAUAUGCCAGUAAAUUUCAGUUUUGUGUUGUUUGGAAAUUUUAUUAUCUCAGAACUUUCCACAUGUUCCUAUUAAUAUAAUGUUCAAGAAUGUAUAGAAUUAUAUUUUUAUAAUGACAUAUGUAAUUAUGUAUAAAUGUAUAGAAUUAUAUUUUUAAAAUGAUAGAUGUAAAUAUAUACUGGUGUUGUAAUUUCAAUUUUUCUCCGUUGUCCUUGAAGUGAGAAACUGUGGCACAUGAGGCUCAUGAGCCUCAUGUGAGCAAAACUUUUGGUGAGCGAAAAUAUUCCUCACGUGAGCAAAAAAUCCUCAUGUGCAGAAUUUUGCUCACGUGAGCAUUUCACCUAAUUUGCAUGUUAAAUUGCACAUAAGACUCACGUGAGCAACUCACGUGAGGAAAUCUUGUUAGUCCUCACGUGAGCUUCUCAUGAGCAAAUUGUGAGAAUGUUUUGGUAUUGGAGAAUAAGCUGAACUGAUUUAUAAUAAAAACAGGAGAGUUGUUCUGAAUGAACAAGUGAAACACAGGGGAAAUUUUGCUAUUCUAUUCCUAGUUUGAAUUAAAAGGGUAAUAUGAAACUAGAAAACUGGAAUGAAAUUUAGUUAGCGUACCAAACAAUAACAAAUGUUCACUUUCGGUAAGUGCAACACACUUAUGGUAAACCAGAUGGAAUGAUUUUAUAAAACAAGUUGCAAAGUAACAACAGAAAAUGCAAGUCAGCUGAUCGAAAAUUCAAAGUAUAAAUAUAUUAAACUUUAAUGAAUAUCCCGGGAUAAAAAAAAAACAACUGAAAAAGAAUGGACGGGUAAAUAUACCGUCAAUAUACCUGUAUCUCAAAUGCUGAGGUGAAAUAAACAACAAAUACUUAUGAAAUAAAUGGAAUUAAACACGAAAUUGUGAGGUUUGUUUUGACCGGAAACACUUUCAGUUACACAAAUAUCGCGAAGCUCGAGCUCGAUCGAAAAUACGUAAUUAAAAAAAAUAGACGACUUUCGAUUGUUUCGGGGUUUUUCCUUAUCAAUAUCGAAAAAUAGCGCUCAGAAAAUUUUUGUUGUUGAAAAUUUGAAAUGACGGAAGAUUUUACAUUUUAACGGAAGGAACGGAAGGGGUGCUCAAAUUCGGGAGAUUUUGUCUUCCGACGGAAGAAUCACAGGUCUGUAAAUGCAUCUUUAUGUACAAAAGAGACAAAAAUAAUUUACUUUCAAUACCGAAUACUAAUGAAUUACAUUGCUACCAACUCCUUUCUUUACAAAAUUAAAAUUUCAGACAAUAAUUUGUGUACAUUUUGUAAUUGUGAAGCAGAAACAAUAAUUCACAUAUUCUAUGAUUGUGUAUAUGUCAACUUAUUUUGGAAUGAUUUUGAGCAAUGGUUCGAUGCAAUUGAAAAUUGUUGUAAAAUUACUUGGUAAUACAGAAGGAAGCUGUUUAGAAAAUUUUCUUUUAUUAGUAUCAAAAAAGUUCAUAUAAUAUUCCAGAUCACAAGGAAUCAUGAUCAGGCCAAAAUUUUCUGAGGCAGUAAAUUUAUUUAAGUACUACAGAAAAAUGGAAAAAUACUCUGAAAAUGUGUUUGGAUGCAAAUCCAAAAUAUUUAGUAAAUGGUCAAUAUAUGAUAUUGUUUAUAACAAGUGAUGAAAAACCAAAGCUUUAUAGGUUAUAUUUGUUAUCAUUACUUUUAGUAUCAUUUUGUUGAUAUGUAUAUUUUCAAUACCUUUAAAUUAUGCAUAGCUGUCAAAUACUAGUUCAUGUAGAAAGUUUUUGUAUGGAAGAUAUUGUAUGCAUGUGUAUGAUUUUGUGUGUGAGAUCAUCUAUGUAGAUGUAAUUGUAAAUGUCUAAAAAUAAAGCAUGAUAA